rnacentral:rRNA from 1 species
AGCUCUAGUAGCAUCUAUUAAUGUUGCUGCAGUUAAAAAGCUCGUAGUUGAGCGUCGGACGAGAGCGCCGUGCCUGGCUUCGGUCAGUGCGCGUGCGGCUCGAGUCUUACUUCUGGGGAAGCGCGGUGCUCUUCACUGGGUGCCGCGGGGAACCAGGACGAUUACCUUGAGGAAAACAGAGUGUUCAACGCAGGCCGAUGCUUGGAUACAUUAGCAUGGAAUAAUAUGAUAGGACUUUGGGCCUGUUGUGUUGGUUUGGGGACCAAUGUCAUGAUGAAUAGGGACAGUUGGGGGCAUUAGUAUUCCGGCGUCAGAGGUGAAAUUCUUGGAUUGCCGGAAGACUGACGAGUGCGAAAGCAUCUGCCAAGGAUGUUUUCA